UGAAAAAGCAAUGUGUAAAAAAUUAGACUAGUCAGUCAGUUGCCCAUUUAUCUAAUCAUAUUAUUAUGGCGGAGCUUUCAUAAUGAUUAAUUUUUAUACUUCUUAAUUGAUCACAUAAAUAAUUUCAAUUUCAGAACAUUUACAGAAUUACAUACGAAUUUCCGAGUCCUGUUUUUUCUUCCAAUUCUUGCCAAGCUGUUCCCCGUCCUUUCCGGGUAUACAAUUAUUCGCGAGGUUCUCGGCCGAUUCACGGCUUGCUUCAAAAUUCCAAUCGAUGAUCAUUUAAACUCUUACUCACCAGAUUUCGACAGAGAUUUCACGGACGCCUUUAUCACCCAGAUGCGAAAUACGACAGACAAACAGUCGCCAUUUUAUGGCAAAGUUGGAGAGGAUAACCUUCUUGCAACCCUGGCAGACAUAUACUUUGGUGGGACCGACACAACUUCGACAACUUUGACAUGGUUGAUUCUGUACGUUUCGAAGAUGCCGGAGAUUCAAAAAAAACUUCAAGAUGAAAUUGAGUCUAUAACGGGAAAUGUGACACCAAUCGGUACCAUGGAUCGGGCAAGGUAAGUUUCUUGAAAGUUACCAGAAUUCUUGAAAUUUAUUUUUUAUUCCUCUAUAAUUUCAAAGCUGAUAUUUGUAGAGUAAUGUAUA